rnacentral:rRNA from 1 species
ANAAGAACGCUGGCGGCAGGCCUAAGCNUGCAAUUCGAGCGGAGCAAGUUAGCUGAUUCUUCGGGGAACGUUUACGGCGUCGAGCGGCGGACGGGUGAAUAAUGCCUGAAAAAUUGCCCUGAUGUGGGGGAUAACCAUUGNAAACGAUGGCUAAUACCGCAUAAUAUCUUCGGCUCAAAGAGGGGGACCUUCGGGCCUCUUNGUCAGGAUAUGCCCAGGUGGGAUUANCUAGUUGGUGAGGUAAUGCCUCACCAAGGCGACGAUCCCUNNCUGGUCUGAGAGGAUGAUCAGCCUCACUGGAACUGAGACACGGUCCANACUCCUACGGGAGGCAGCACUGAGGAAUAUUGCACAAUGGGCGCAAGCCUGAUNCAGCCAUGCC